rnacentral:rRNA from 1 species
AUUGAACGCUGGCGGCAGGCUUAACACAUGCAAGUCGAGCGGAGCGAGGGUGCUUGCACCUUAGCUUAGCGGCGGACGGGUGAGUAAUGCUUAGGAAUCUGCCUAGUAGUGGGGGACAACAUUCCGAAAGGAAUGCUAAUACCGCAUACGCCCUACGGGGGAAAGCAGGGGAUCUUCGGACCUUGCGCUAAUAGAUGAGCCUAAGUCGGAUUAGCUAGUUGGUGGGGUAAAGGCCUACCAAGGCGACGAUCUGUAGCGGGUCUGAGAGGAUGACACGCCACACUGGGACUGAGACACGGCCCAGACUCCUACGGGAGGCAGCAGUGGGGAAUAUUGGACAAUGGGCGGAAGCCUGAUCCAGCCAUGCCGCGUGUGUGAAGAAGGCCUUCUGGUUGUAAAGCACUUUAAGCGAGGAGGAGGCUACUUAGAUUAAUACUCUGGGAUAGUGGACGUUACUCGCAGAAUAAGCACCGGCUAACUCUGUGCCAGCCGCCGCCGUAACAC